AUAACCUGAGGAUCUUGUUGAAAUGUAGAUUCUGGUUUGGUAGAACUGGGAUGCACCCUGAGAUUCUGUAUUUUUAACAAGUUCUCAGAUGA
rnacentral:miRNA from 1 species